AUGGAGGUUUUUUCUUGUGAUUCAUCCUCGUUUACGAUUUGAGAGAACGGAAUGUUUUCACUCUAUUCUUUUAUCUCCGAGGAUGGAGCCAUCACAAGAACAAAAUUGGAUCAGGGUUAGAUGGAGACGCUCAUUCCAUUUAUAUAUAUGAGUAGUGCUACCGUGCUAUCGAAAGUAUAGAGAAUUUGGUGCUUUCGACUUUUUAGUCCUUAAAUCAACCCUUUUGAUUAUUUCUAAUAUUUGGAUUAAUACUAUUAUCCUGUGGGGACCACUCAACUCUGGGGGACCGCAAUCAUCCCAAACAUACAAUUUUUGAUCAAAGGGUCAAAAAAUCGGAAGCAUCAAAUUCUCUAUACUUCCGAUAGUAUAAUAACUCUAUACUAUAUCUAUAAAACUAUAUGAAGCCAGAAUAAUUCUUACCACGUGGCAAGUUAUCUUUCAUCCCUCUUUGAAAGAACAAAAUGAGAAAUUUAAUAAUUAAUAACUGAUAUAAAUAUAUAAUCAUAAUAAUAACUAUAGUUUAAUAGAUA
rnacentral:lncRNA from 1 species